AGUACCAACAUGACUUAGAGAGCUGUGUCUUCAAUAGAUUUCCCUCCAAUGUGGAGAACACAUUAACAUAACAUAGUAAUUGGUAUACGAUUUCCUAUACAGAGACAUGAUCAACAAGCUCACGCCCCUUGGUCUCAACUGGAAAGAGCAGAACACUAAUUGCUGAUAAAAUAACAACCACUUCAAAUAAAAUGAUUGCAGCCAUCUGGUGGCAACCUCUAACCAAUUGCACUGCAACUAUAGGAGAGACCAUCCCUGCAAUUCUCCCCACAGCACUUGCAACUCCACAACCAGUUGAUCUAACUGAGGUUGGAUAAAUCUCUGGACAAUAAACACCAGCAAGGGUGAAGGUCCCUAUGAACCAGAUACGAGCUCCAAAUAGCAAUGCUGUUGUUAAUGCCUCAUUCUGAGGUACAACAAGCGGAAAAAGGAAUAGGGACCCGAAGAUAUACAUCAGUGCCAUUGAAUAUUUCCGACCAACUUUCUCCACCACUACAGCUGAAAUAAGAAGCCCAGGAAGCUCAGCAAGGCUAGUGAUGAACACGUCUGUAUAGAGGCUUGAAUCAUUUUUCACAUGCAAAGCAACUGAGAAGCAUCUAUUUUCCCCAGCACUAAACUGUGAUGUCAGCAAUAUAAUGCCAUAAUAGGCAAAUGAAUUUCCAAAAUAAACCACCCACAUGAGGAGGGUAAUUCGUAGUAAUUGUGGGGAUAAAAGCAUCAGGGAUGAAGACAAUCCUGUCUUAAAAUUGAAGAUUUUGUUGG
rnacentral:misc_RNA from 1 species